rnacentral:RNase_P_RNA from 1 species
CGAGCAGACCACCUUAUCGCUCUUUAAUUAGAGAGGAAAGUCCGGACACCACAGUGUAGCAUAGCGGGUAACGCCCGUCCGUCGAAAGGCGAGGACAAGUGCAACAGAAAGAAUGUACAGGUUAAGCUGUAGUGAAAUCAGGUAAACUCUAUGCGGUGCAACGCCAUGUAAAUCGACGUUUGAAGGCGACACGUCUGAGUCGAAGGGUAGGCGGAUUGAGUCUUUGGGUAACCACUGGCCUAGAUAAAUGGUAAGGAUAUACAGAAUCCGGCUUAUGGUCUGCUUUUUUU